rnacentral:lncRNA from 1 species
GUUACAGGAGAGACAACUUAAGAAUCAUUAGUCUACCAGAAGACCAUGACAAAAGAAAAAGCCUGGAUGUCAUACUACAGGAAAUUAUCCAAGAAAACUGCCCCCAUAUUCUAGAACAAGAGGAAAAAGUGGAGAUUGAAUUAAUCCACAGAUCACCUCCUGUACUUAAUCCCCAACUGACAACACCCAGGAAUCUUAUAACCAAAUUUAAGAACUAUCAGACCAAGGAAAAAAUAGUACAAGCUGCUAAGAAGAAGUCAUUCAGAUACCAAGGAAUUACAGUGAGGAUAACACAGGAUCUGUCUGCAUCUACACUGAAGGACUGAAAGGCAUGGGAUAUGAUAUUCCAGAAAGCAAAGGAAGUAGGUCUACAACCAAGAAUCAACUACCAGCAAAACUGACUAUAUUCUUACAAGGGAAAGUAUGGUCAUUUAACAAAAUAGAAGAAUUCCAAGAAUUUGUAAAGAAAAGACCAGACCUGAACAGAAAAUUUGAUGCCCAAACACAGAACUCAAGAGAAUCAUCAAAAGUUAUCAUGGUGAUGUUGAGGACUAACGGAAGACACACCUGGGAAAGGAGAGUAUUUAUACUGUUGAGGUUUCAUAAAGGUAAUUUGGAUUUUUUUUUGUCAGCAAAAAGUGGAUAGAGGUUAGAGCUGCAUAUUAAAUUGAUAGUAAAUUGCAGUAGAGGGAGAAAGAGAAAAAUAUUUAAGACUAGAUUCCUUCUGACAGAUGUACUCAUAAAAAGUCCCAAGCUGCAAGUGGGGAAAGUAUGGUAUGAUUUAUUUUCACUUUCAAAUCUCUUUCUUCCAUUCUUUCAGUGCUGGGAUUUGAAAAGAAAAACCAAGUCCUUGAACAGAGGGAGUUGAAAGACAGAAAGCCUUACUAUCCAAAGAAAGGGUCGGGGAUUUCAUCUGCAGGAUGCUCAGAUGGUGAAUGACUGAAAGCUCAGAAUAUGUAGCUCCCUGGCAUUGCCAGCUCCUUACAUGUCUAAUGUGGUGUUGUUUUAAAUAAAUAAAUAAUCUACAUAUUACA